UACAGAGGUCUCAAGCGUUGUUCGGAAUUACUGGGCGUAAAGGGUGCGCAGGCCGCGCGGGCAGUCACAUGUGUAAUCCAGGGGCUCAACCCCUGAACUGCGCCUGAUACUUCCGCGCUCGAGCUUUGGAGAGGAGUCUGGAAUUCUCGGUGUAGCAGUGAAAUGCGUGGAUAUCGAGAAGAACACUUAGGGCGUAAGCAAGACUCUGGACAAAUGCUGACGCUCAUGCACGAAGGCUAGGGUAGCGAACGGG
rnacentral:rRNA from 1 species